rnacentral:rRNA from 1 species
CCUACGGGUGGCAGCAGUGGGGGAUAUUGCACAAUGGGGGAAACCCUGAUGCAGUGACGCCGCGUGGGUGAAGAAGCGCCUCGGCGCGUAAAGCCCUGUCAGCAGGGAAGAAAAUGACGGUACCUGAAGAAGAAGCCCCGGCUAACUACGUGACAGCAGCCGCGGUAAUACGGGGGGGGCAAGCGUUAUCCGGAUUUACGGGGUGUAAAGGGGGCGUAGGCGGGGCUGCAAGCCCGGAGUGAAAGGCCGGGGGCGAACCCCGGGACUGCUCUUGAAACUGGGUGGCUAGAGUGCAGGAGGGGCAGGCGGAAUUCCUGGUGUAGCGGUGAAAUGCGUAGAUAUCAGGAGGAACACCGGUGGCGAAGGCGGCCUGCUGGACGGUAACUGACGUUGAGGCACGAAAGCGUGGGGAGCAAACAGGAUUAGAUACCCCUGUAGUC